rnacentral:rRNA from 1 species
CCUACGGGUGGCAGCAGUGGGGAAUAUUGGACAAUGGGCGAAAGCCUGAUCCAGCCAUGCCGCGUGUGUGAAGAAGGCCUUCGGGUUGUAAAGCACUUUCAGUGGGGAAGAAAGCCUUGGGGCUAAUACCCUCGAGGAAGGACAUCACCCACAGAAGAAGUACCGGCUAACUCCGUGCCAGCAGCCGCGGUAAUACGGAGGGUGCGAGCGUUAAUCGGAAUUACUGGGCGUAAAGCGCGCGUAGGCGGUCUGAUAAGCCGGUUGUGAAAGCCCCGGGCUCAACCUGGGAACGGCAUCCGGAACUGUCAGGCUAGAGUGCAGGAGAGGAAGGUAGAAUUCCCGGUGUAGCGGUGAAAUGCGUAGAGAUCGGGAGGAAUACCAGUGGCGAAGGCGGCCUUCUGGACUGACACUGACGCUGAGGUGCGAAAGCGUGGGUAGCAAACAGGAUUAGAUACCCUAGUAGUC